rnacentral:lncRNA from 1 species
GUCAGUAGAUCUAGUAGCUGAGGAUUCUGAGGGCGAAAUCUCGAUGCUUGAUCUCACGGAGGAUCUAGUGAAGAAAAAGAAGAAAAAAAGUGAGAAGAAAGAAAAAGAAAAAAGAUAGAGGCCCGAAAUUAAUGGAGAAAGAAAAGCAAAAAAGAGGGCAAGAAAGAAGUCUGAAAAGAAGAAGAUGAAAAAAGAGAGAAUUGAGUCCUUAGUGGACAAUAAGAUAUGGGAGGC